rnacentral:rRNA from 1 species
CCUACGGGAGGCUGCAGUGGGGAAUAUUGGACAAUGGGGGCAACCCUGAUCCAGCCAUGCCGCGUGUGUGAAGAAGGCCCUCGGGUUGUAAAGCACUUUCAGUGAGGAAGAACGCCUGGUGGUUAAUACCCAUCAGGAAAGACAUCACUCACAGAAGAAGCACCGGCUAACUCCGUGCCAGCAGCCGCGGUAAUACGGAGGGUGCGAGCGUUAAUCGGAAUUACUGGGCGUAAAGCGCGCGUAGGUGGCUUGAUAAGCCGGUUGUGAAAGCCCCGGGCUCAACCUGGGAACGGCAUCCGGAACUGUCAAGCUAGAGUGCAGGAGAGGAAGGUAGAAUUCCCGGUGUAGCGGUGAAAUGCGUAGAGAUAGGGAGGAAUACCAGUGGCGAAGGCGGCCUUCUGGACUGACACUGACACUGAGGUGCGAAAGCGUGGGUAGCAAACAGGAUUAGAUACCCGGGUAGUC